UGUCUGUCAGUCACCUCGUAGUAUAAAACCUCUCUCCAAAUCCUUCAUUCUGGCAUAACAUUUACCGCAGAUAUACUUCACUACUACCGCAGGGUCGUAUUUACCCCCUAAAUCUAGUUUCAAAUGGGCCCCGUCGCCUAGCGUUAACUCCCCUACCUAGCCUCGCUGAUUCAGUUGGCUGCUGUUUUAACAUCUCUUGGGUAACAACAACAACAACAAAAAAGGGUUUCUAUCUAACGCACUAUUCAACAAGAUCUGAAGAAUGGCAGCGAUCAAUGCAGGCGCUUCUCUUGUUGCUACCAAUGACUACUACCGAAGGCGCCUCGGCUCCACUUCCAGCAGCAGCUCCUGUGGCAGUUCAGAGUACAGUGGGGAGGUCAUUCCACACCAUCCAGGUCUGCCCAAACAAGACUCUGGACAUUGGUGGUCCAGCUUCUUCUUUGGGAAGCAGAACCAGCCAGGAAUGACCACUCUGACUGAGGAGGCCAAGCAGAAGUAAGUUAAAGUAGGCAACUGGGAGAAAUGUGGGUAAUGGACUAUAACCUCUUACGUAUUCAAAACACUUCAGAAUGUUCUUGACUUAUCCUCUGGUUCCAUUGCGCUCCCUUGGGGGGGGGGGGUGUAAAAUAAACAUUGCUUUUAGAGCUGAACUGAACAUACUCUCAGAAGCACAGUGCACUUUGUUUCAUGUCUGUAGGGCUUACCAUUGCUAAGAUAUAUAAUUUUCUUUGUGUGUGUGUGUCUCAAUUCUGGGUCAAAAGGUCACAGGAUAAGAUGCACAUGUCAAUGGCAAAGCCUUUUCUAAAAAAAUGGUGCCAAAAUGACACCAGGUGGACUCAGAUUAACAAACAAAGUCAUUUUCAGGAGUUAACUGGAAUUUGAGAGGGAGAAAUUUCCUGAGUUACAGUUCAUAAAAGGAAAUCGGUUAAUUUAAAUAAAUUAGGCCCUAAUCAAUGGAUUUCAUAUGACUGUGCAGGGCCGCAGCCAUGGGUGGGCAUGGACUGUCACAGGCACACGCACUGGGGAGCCAGGCCCUGCCAAUCAGUUUUUUCCCCACAAAAGAGCUUUAUUACAGACAGAAAUACUCCUCUGUUUUAUCAGCUGUCCGGGUGGCUGGUCUUAGACAUACUGCCACAUUAUCUAAAAUGACGCUGAGUGCAGCUUAUGGUAGAUAAUUUAACAUUAAAUUCUCUGGCAACAGUUCUGGUGGACAUUCCUGCAGUCAGCAUACCAAUUGCACACUCCCUCAACUUGAGACAUCUGUGGCAUUGUGUUGUGUGACAAAACUGCCCAUUUUUAGAGGCCUUUUAUUGUACCCAGCAAAAGGUGCACCUGUGUAAUGAUUAUGCUGUUUAUUCAGCUUCAUAAUAUGCCACACCUGUCAGGUGGAUUAAUUAUCUUGGCAAAGGAGAAAAAGGUCAUUAAAACGGGUCUAAACAAAUUUGUGCACAACAUUUUAGAUGUUUUUUGAGUAUGGAAAGUUCUGGGAUCUUAAUUAAGUUCAUGGCACCAACGUUUUAUAUUUGUGUGUAUAAUACACAUUUCAUGUUAAUUUAUGCAAUAUGCAUUAAAUCUUUGACGAAUUCGUAAAAAAAAAUUAUCUUGUAAGUUUUAAAAAUAAAGCUUUAUUUUUUUUUAACCUAAUGCAGUAAAGUCACAAGCUACUGAUCUAACCAGAGGUAAUACUUUUAAGGUUUUAGUGUGCUUGUUACAUCUCUUAUGGAAUUCGACUUGACCUAAUCACAUUAUCUUCCUUCUGCCCACCAUUUUGAUACUAUUUCAAUGCAUUCCAAUGGCCAUAGACUUUCAAUGGAGAAAUGUCCAUUCAUAGCUCCUCCCACACCUACUCAGCACACCGUUAACCCCGCCCUCACCCACUGUUAGGUGAGGAGACUAACCUUCCUGAUAGCUACUAUAGUAAAGGUGAGAUGGCAAGUGUUCAUAAAUGGACAAACAAACAGAUUCUUGGUUGGGCCUUUUUUAUUAGCGUUAAAGACAAUGGGCCUUUUUAUUAGCGUUAAAGACAUUGGGCCUUUUUAUUAGCGUUAAAGACAAAGGUGCGUAUCUUAAGUUACAUUGUUCACUAUGGGACUUACUUACAUUAUACCGACUAGUUGGUCAGAAGAGGUGAAGACAAGGCCAUCCAGAAUACAGGCUUAUUAAUAUCAAACAAAUAAGCAUCUGUAAUUUCACACAAAUGUGCGGUAGCAAGGUUUUCAUAUUCGCGUGUAUCCUUAUACUGUCCUUCUCUCACACUGGGAUUUACGGUUUUACACAAGGGGGUGCAAAAAACCCCCGCUAAAGCCCAUUGGGCGUCUUACCAGAAUGCUAGCGGAAAAACCCCCAGCUCUUUAUAAGUGUUGUGAAACAACUUCAACUAGUAGUCAAUUCAUUAGCUGACAUUUCCAAACCCUUAUUGUCUUGCUUCAUGAAUACUCCCUCCUGGGUCCCUCACUAGGACAGACAGCUUUCUGACACACUAAGACAUAAUCCUCAUGGCAGUUUCAUCUACAACAUUAAGCAAGGUGCUCCCUGCUGAAUACAACACCAGUUUUCCUUGUUCUCACACUCAACCUCUCUCUCCCUAAACAACUCCUCCUCGCUCACACUGUCCUCCAUCCCUGGGAAUUGAACUGGCGACCUUUGCAUUGUUAGUGCUACAGUCUUCCCGACUGAGCCACGCAGGUCAUCCUUACCUCUCCCCGUUUUGCUUUGCUCUCACACUCGACCCCUCUCUUCCAGGGCGGCGGCCAUGACUGUGACCAACGGCCAGGUGACCUGCGUUGCCAGGGAGAUGGUGAUGAAGAGGCAGGUCAGCGACGGCAGCGAAGCCGGGAGGCCGGAGCCGGGGAGUCCACCCCCCUCCUGAGAGAUGGGACAAACGCUAGGAGACGGAGGCUGCGUCCCCAUUCCCUAAACCCUUAAUGCGGUUCCAUCCUCCACACUACAUAGAAUGUAUGCCUCUUACAUUGCUUCAUACUAGGUAGUAUGGAUAUUGGAACACACACGCUUUUUUUGUUUGUCUUAGUAGGACAGGUUGACAAUGACCGUUGUUUUAUUUGUAUCCCGUUUUUGUUUUUUUUAAAUCUAUGAACAAAAUAUAUAUAUAUAAAAAAUCUUUUUUUUUUUUUUACAUUUGUACUUGUCUGUAACACCGUGGUGCCCUCAUAACUUUUGUUAACUUCUCCACUUUGUCACCCUGUGAUUGCAGAUGUCUAGUAAAAGUCGCCUCAGCCUAAUUAUAGACUUGUCUGUCAUUUCUGUUUCUUUCAAUGGAAUUUAUUGCUCUGAAAACAAUCUUGCUAUGCCAAACAGUCAACAUUAACCUGGGCACUCAGUAUCCGUCAGUCAACCUUUAUUCGUCAGUCAACAUUAAAAGGAUCAAACCCUAUAGAGAACAUACAUUUUUUUAUUACCAUAUAAUUUUUGUAAGUUUACACACUCAGGAAUGUGAUGAAUAAUUAGCUUCCCUAUAGAAAAUACACUAACCUUCACACAUCUAGGGGCAGGGGUUCAAACUGUAGAACCCUCUUCCUACAUUUGAAUAUAAAAAUAGAUUUUAUCAAACAAAACUAUGCUACAUUUUAUGGGACCCUCAGGAUGACAAAUCAGAGCAAGAUUACUGAAUGUAAGUACAUUAUUUACCUUCAGAGGUGAAUGUAUCAAACCAGUUGCCGUGAUACGUUUUCUGUUGUGCACUCUCCUCAAACAAUAGCAUGGUAUUCUUUCACUGUAAUAGCUACUGUAAAUUGGACAGUCCAGUUAGAUUAACAAGAAUUUAAGCUUUCUGCCCAUAUAAGACAUGUCUAUGUCCUGGGAAAUGUUCUUGUUACUUACAACCUCAUGCUAAUCACAUUAGCGCACGUUAGCUCAACCAUCCCGCGGCUGGGACACACGAUCCCGUAGAGGUUUUAACCUGGGCACUCAGUGUUCAACUCUGUCAGGCUGAAUACUGGAAACAGACCAUUGAUAUGCAUGGAUCCUCUUACCUUCUUGUCUGUGACUUAUGAAGCCUUUGGCAGUUAUGGAUCUUUUGGCAGUUAUGGAUCUGAAAUACUAGAAACAAACAAUCCCUCUGCCAAGUAUAGUAAGUAAAUGGGAAUGUCCAUUCCUACCAUGCUGUGUAAAGUUUAUUCUGGAAGCUUAGGACUAUUCAGUACAGUCAAUUGCUAUGUGAAAUGUAACACCGUUAUGAUAAGUAUGUCUAGUGGAGGGGGCUUCCUACUGCCAACACUGCAAGACACCAUGUUGUCUGACACCAGGCCAUUAGGCUGUUCUUGUCUUGAGUCAAACCAUGUUGUCUGACACCAGGCCAUUAGGCUGUUCUUGUCUUGAGUCAAGACACCAUAUUGCCUGACACUGUUAGGUUCUACUCCGGUACGGUACUCGGAUACGGAGGCAGAGAAAAUCUCCGACCAGAUGUAUUCACCCAACAGGAUACCCUCAGCUGUAUAGCAGCACAGUGCUACAGAGCCAGUCUUAUCUACAGUACCUGGGGUGAAUGUCUCAGCAGGAUGGGACAGGCUGGACCAGAUGGCUGUUUGGCUCUGAUCUCCCUUCAGAUACCAUUCUGAUAUCUGCAUCUUGUCAUUCUCACUUCUCUCCCCAACUGCUACGUUGAAAGCCAUCAUCUCACUUCCCACAGAAACUAGCCAUUUGGACAGUAACUUAACCUUGACCCUAUCAUAACCCUGACAGAAGGUUUCUAUUGACCUUUAGGGAAUCAUUCAUGCAGUCCGAAGCAGUCCCCUAUCCCUAUGCCUAAAUACAAUGCACAUAGAUUCACCCAAUCCCAUAACAGGAUGAUUACUACGGAUUAUUCUAGAAAAGGUUAUAGUGUCAUAACGGCCUCCAACAGCACCGUUGAAUUUGUCUUACAAUGUUGGGAAAAGCUUUCUCCAAUAUUCUGCUAUUUUAUACUGAAAGAUACAUUUCUGUAGCUCAAAGAAAGGAAAACCGCUUAUGAUCGGCAGAUAUUUUAUUUUGAUUUAACCUUUAUUUAACUAGGCAAGUCAGUUAAGAACAAAUUCUUAUUUACAAUGACGGCCUACCAAAAGGCAAAAAGACCUGAGGGGACAGGGGCUGGGAUUAAAAAUAUCUUUCUAUUAUGGUUUUAUUUGGUAAAUCAAGUGAGGUUGGUUGCAUAAAACAAGUAUGAAAGACUAUUUUACUAUAUACAAAUUACACUUCCAUCAGAGGUUAAUGUUUGUGAAUAUAUAAAGCACAUUAUAUUUGCAUAUCAGUCAAUACAUUGACAGAUCUGUCUUGGGGAUUUAACCAGAAGCUAACUAAAUGCUAUUGUCGAUCCAUAGACUACAAUACUAGCGUUGUAGCCAUUAGAUUACGUGAAUGUGUCAUGCCUUGCUACCCAGGAACCAAACACAUAGAACAGAAGGGACCAGGGAAAAACAAACAAGGAUCAUUAUGUUCCAGAAGUGCUUUUAUCUUUAGACUGAGCAGCAGUUUUUCCAGGUCACUGGGUAGUUGUGUGUGGGUGGGAACAUACUUCUCACAGAGAGAAAAAGGGAGGGAGAGAAUCAGUCUGUCUCUCUAGCUCUGAACCAGGUAACAGGUUGCUGCUGCCUGUCUCUCUAGCUCUGAACCAGGUAACAGGUUUCUGCUGCCUGUCUCUCUAGCUCUGAACCAGGUAACAGGUUUCUGCUGCCUGUCUCUCUCUAGCUCUGAACCAGGUAACAGGUUUCUGCUGCCUGUCUCUCUAGCUCUGAACCAGGCAUCAGGUUUCUGCUGCCUGUCUCUCUCUAGCUCUGAACCAGGUAACAGGUUUCUGCUGCCUGUCUCUCUAGCUCUGAACCAGGUAACAGGUUUCUGCUGCCUGUCUCUCUAGCUCUGAACCAGGCAUCAGGUUUCUGCUGCCUGUCGGCCUGUCUCUCUAGCUCUGAACCAGGUAACAGGUUUCUGCUGCCUGUCGGCCUGUCUCUCUCUAGCUCUGAACCAGGCAUCAGAUUUCUGCUGCCUGUCUCUCUAGCUCUGAACCAGGCAACAGGUUUCUGCUGCCUGUCGGCCUGUCUCUCUCUAGCUCUGAACCAGGCAUCAGGUUUCUGCUGCCUGUCGGCCUGUCUCUCUCUAGCUCUGAACCAGGUAACAGGUUUAUGCUGCCUGUCGGCCUGUCUCUCUCUAGCUCUGAACCAGGCAUCAGGUUUCUGCUGCCUGUCGGCCUGUCUCUCUCUAGCUCUGAACCAGGCAUCAGGUUUCUGCUGCCUGUCGGCCUGUCUCUCUCUAGCUCUGAACCAGGUAACAGGUUUCUGCUGCCUGUCUCUCUAGCUCUGAACCAGGUAACAGGUUUCUGUUUUAUUCAACUCAUGAAUGAAUGUUCCCAUAUUGCUGCCUGGCAACCAGCCAGUAUCAGGAGAAAAGGGAACAUCUUGUUCCGUUAGUUAUGCUGCACAGAGUAGAACAGGCUGUGGCCAAAGUUAUGAAAUGAAGAAAGGAAGGGAGGGGAAAAUUAACAAUAGAAAAAGGAGAGUAGGAGCAGAGGGUGUAUAACUGGACUGUGUGUUUGAUUGAAUUCAUAUCUUAUACCAAUGUAUGGAAUAAUAUAAAGGGAGGGUCUUUUCAAUCCAUAUCGCGGAAGUUCAGCGUUACGUCACGAUUUAAAUUUAAAAGGCAAUGUUAGUGGAGAGUGCAUUCACGGUAAACGCUGUAAUAUGUCGACUCAAUCAGAAAUGACCUUUAAAUUUAUAGCGUGCAAUCUGUAACGCCUCAGCGAAUAGAGAUUGAAUAAAGGCUGAAGUCUGUUUUUAGAGAGCGCUUGCAGAAAUGGCAUUUUUCAGGGUAGGAUAGGGAGUGACGCAAAAUGUAAAACAUGUUCGACACCGACUGGCUUGAUCAAGUCCAUAUUUCUGUGCUGAGAGGACAGACAGAGUGGAAGAUGUCUUCUCCCUCGUCUUCCUCUUGGAGUCUUUCCCUCUUUGUGUUUCAACCUGUUGAUUGGUGGUGGUGUGACUCUACUGGACCGCUCUGUUGGCUGGGGGGCGCUGGACCGGGGGCGCUGGACCCGGGGCGCUGGACCGGGGACGCUGGACCGGGGGCGCUGGACCGGGAGCUGGACCGGGGAGCUGGACCGGGGAGCUGGACUGGGGGGCGCUGGACCGGGGUGCUGGACGGGAGCACUGGGCGAGGGCGGUGGGCUGGACGGGGCGGUGGGCUGGACGGGGCGGUGCAUGGUUUGGGGCUCCCCCAGAACCACACUGACCCACCUUCCUUUAGAUAUUCCCCCUGCUCCUGGGAACCCUGAGGAGGAUAUGAAGAGGUGAUUAGUAAAUCCCCUGCUCCUGGGAACCCUGAGGAGGAUAUGAAGAGGUGAUUAGUA
rnacentral:lncRNA from 1 species